rnacentral:rRNA from 1 species
GGGUUGUGAGGUUAAGCGACUAAGCGUACACGGUGGAUGCCCUGGCAGUCAGAGGCGAUGAAGGACGUGCUAAUCUGCGAUAAGCGCCGGUAAGGUGAUAUGAACCGUUAUAACCGGCGAUUUCCGAAUGGGGAAACCCAGUGUGAUUCGUCACACUAUCAUUAACUGAAUCCAUAGGUUAAUGAGGCGAACCGGGGGAACUGAAACAUCUAAGUACCCCGAGGAAAAGAAAUCAACCGAGAUUCCCCCAGUAGCGGCGAGCGAACGGGGAGGAGCCCAGAGCCUGAAUCAGCAUGUGUGUUAGUGGAAGCGUCUGGAAAGGCGCGCGAUACAGGGUGACAGCCCCGUACACAAAAGCGCAUGUGCUGUGAGCUCGAUGAGUAGGGCGGGACACGUGGUAUCCUGUCUGAAUAUGGGGGGACCAUCCUCCAAGGCUAAAUACUCCUGACUGACCGAUAGUGAACCAGUACCGUGAGGGAAAGGCGAAAAGAACCCCGGCGAGGGGAGUGAAAAAGAACCUGAAACCGUGUACGUACAAGCAGUGGGAGCCCCACCACCAAAGCAUUCUCUGGUGUUGAAGGCCCUGCAAAGCAGCAUCGCGGUGGCGGAGCGUCGUUUGCGACGCCCAACACACAAAACAAGCGGUGAGUGCUUUGGGGUGGGGUGACUGCGUACCUUUUGUAUAAUGGGUCAGCGACUUAUAUUCUGUAGCAAGGUUAACCGAAUAGGGGAGCCGUAGGGAAACCGAGUCUUAACCGGGCGUUAAGUUGCAGGGUAUAGACCCGAAACCCGGUGAUCUAGCCAUGGGCAGGUUGAAGGUUGGGUAACACUAACUGGAGGACCGAACCGACUAAUGUUGAAAAAUUAGCGGAUGACCUGUGGCUGGGGGUGAAAGGCCAAUCAAACCGGGAGAUAGCUGGUUCUCCCCGAAAGCUAUUUAGGUAGCGCCUCGUGAACUCAUCUCCGGGGGUAGAGCACUGUUUCGGCUAGGGGGCCAUCCCGGCUUACCAACCCGAUGCAAACUGCGAAUACCGGAGAAUGUUAUCACGGGAGACACACGGCGGGUGCUAACGUCCGUCGUGAAGAGGGAAACAACCCAGACCGCCAGCUAAGGUCCCAAAGUCAUGGUUAAGUGGGAAACGAUGUGGG